rnacentral:hammerhead_ribozyme from 1 species
ACCCAGCUGACAAGCCCCAGAUAGGACGAAAUGCGUGUCCUGGAU